CUGUGGUCAAGGCCCAGGACCGGGGUAAAGAAAUCCAGUGGUCAUCAAUUGCCCCUUCACCUUCUCGGUAGUUAUUGCUUUCAACUGCCGAGGGGGGGAAUAUCAAGAAUCAUUAUGACCGCGUCUGUUCGUGUUCAGAUGCCUUCAUAACAUCCUUUAAUCUUUCUGUCAUUGCGCAGUUUUUGAAUCUUAUCUGCUUUUUCCCCUUUCUGGCUUUUCUCUAUUCUUCGUGUCCUCUGUUACCUUUGCUUUCUUGUCGUCAUUAUCUGGACAUGUCCUUUCUUUCCUUUCCCAUGAACAUCUGUCAUUGCUAGCUUAGAGUCUCAUAUAACUCUAUCUUGUGCUAGGGCCUCAGACUUCCGGG
rnacentral:lncRNA from 1 species